GUAGGACUGUCUCCCUCUGCUCUCCCGGAUGCGACGUGGUCAAGCGCUGCAAAGAAAAACCAAAGUAACAAACUCCUACAGAGGCAAGAGCUAGGCCCUGAAGAGUGAGCAGAUGGCCAACCAGCAGGGAGGAAGAAAAGCCUAAAUAAACACCUGCUUCUGUGUUCGGAAUAUCCUGGUUUGCAGCAUGGACAAAGGCCUGGCCAGAGCCAACAGACCAACCGACAGGAGGAAGGACAGGCCUCCAGAGGGGGCUGCUAAAAGAUUGGGCCAAGAAUGUCACAAGGAGGAAUUCCUGUGGAACCAAGAGGCUGGAUGGGGCUCUGGAGAAGAACAUAGGCAAAGCCACUGAACACCUGCAGGCCUCCCUGAUUAUCUGGUGAAAGUGCCUGUUUUCUGUAUAGAGGGAGGCCCAGUCCCAGCAAGAGGCCUAGAGAGUAGACUGACUGAGUCAGUAGAGCUGGGUAGCCACUCAGGCAAGCAGGGUGAGUGUGGUGAUAUGACCAGACACAAGCAAACCAGGGUUGGGGCAGCCCUUGACGAUCACUCAAGGCUCCCACCCACCCUGGUCAACAGGUCCCCACAAACCACAGCAGGUACCACAGGGCUCUCCCCUUGGGCCCCCAGGUAUUCCUCACAGUUCCCAAUGAGGCACAGUCCACGGGGCACUACAGAUGCUAAGCACCAAUGAGGACUUUGGUCAGUAAUUCUCAAAGUGUAGUUCAGAGAACUCUGGGCAUCCCCAAAACUCUUCCAUGUGAAUGAGUCAUUUGUUUAUUUUAUAGAGAAUGACAAAUUCUUAAGUUUUCUGUUCUAAUUUUCUCUUACUGUAAGUACUGUUAAGAUAAAAUCCAUACAAACAAAA